rnacentral:rRNA from 1 species
UACGGGGGGGGCAAGCGUUGUUCGGAAUUACUGGGCGUAAAGGGCGCGUAGGCGGUUUGCUAAGUUGGAUGUGAAAACUCUGGGCUUAACCCAGAGCCUGCAUCCAAAACUGGCAAACUUGAGUACUGGAGGGGAAAGCGGAAUUCCUGGUGUAGCGGUGAAAUGCGUAGAUAUCUGGAGGAACACCGGUGGCGAAGGCGGCAUCCUGGACCGGCAUUGACGCUGAGGAGCGAAAGCCAGGGGAGCAAACGGG